GCCGAGGUGGCUCAGCCAGGUUAGAGCGGGAGGCUGUUAACCUCUAGGUCAGCGGUUCGAAUCCGCUCCUCGGCGCCA
rnacentral:tRNA from 1 species